UGAGCUUCUUCCUUUAUUUUGUUUGCCUCUUACCCUAGCUUCAAAUAAACAGUUAGUCCUUAUGGCCUCCCCAACAGCACUCUUGACUGUAAAACCCCGUUCCAUACCUGUUACUCAGUCAUUGCUUUCCUAUAUCUCAGAGGCCUCAUUUCUUUAGUUGGCCUUCACAAAGGGUCCAUCUCAUACCUCUUCACUCAUCUGAAUCUGUUUGUCCUUCUGUAUUUGGAUGACAGCAGUAUUGCUCACAGCUUUUAGAGGUUUUUUUUUUUUUUUGAAUUUCUGUAGUAGCACACCAUACUCUCUUUUUUUAACAAUUGGUUUACAUUUUUGUUAGCUCCUUGUAGUGUGAUCUGAUUGUGCCCACACACAGCAGCACAUGGAGUAAAGCUUAUCCUGGUCACACAGACCUAUGUAUGAAGUAAUUCAUUGGCCACUCUCUCACACAAGCUGAAAAAUUUGUCUGUCACACUCUUCCCACCUGUGGUUCACAGCUGUAACAGCAGCAUCCCUGUCAAUAGCUAGUGAUAUUCUCAUAGGCCUUUUUUCCCUUUCCACCUCUUCCUGGAACAGCCCAUAAGACACUACCACAAGGCCUAGAUCUCCUGCCCCAUACUGACAGGGAGAGAUGUGGGGUCUCUCUGGAUCAAACUAUGGACUAUCUAUCAAAUGAACCACGGGUUGCUUGAGGAGAGGCCUAAUUGCUCUGCUCAGCUUUGGAAUGGAUCCUGGAGGUUACCCAGUAGGCAGCUCUUUAGAGCUAGAUCCACAUAUGAUAACAGUUUGAGUGUAUAUCCAUAGUCCAGAGACACAUAAACAAUGAGACAAGGUGAGUGAAACUUCCUGCUGAUUGCAACGUAGCAUAAAGUGAAAAAAAAAAAAAAAGAUGUUGAAUGAAGGUGACACAAAAAAUUUACAGUUACAGUUGAAUCAUCUGUGGGAUUGUCUUUCACAUAUAAAAAUUUCCAAAAGAUUUGUGUGACCAAAGAGUAAAGGAUAUCCUGAAGAAUACUGAGGAAUUUCCACUUAUUGUAGUUCAUUUGGAUAUCAACUCCACACAAGAGAAGGGAGAUGCACAGUCUAGAAGAACAGUUGUGUGUACC
rnacentral:lncRNA from 1 species